rnacentral:piRNA from 1 species
UGGUCAACAAGAGCUAGCUAGUUCCAGGAG